GAUGGGGUAGUGUUCAAGAGCACAUGUAAUUGUCGUUUACAAAGGCAUCCAUUUG
rnacentral:tRNA from 1 species